rnacentral:rRNA from 1 species
GUACAAAGGUUUCUACAGACCAGAUAAAGAUUGGCUCUCAAGUGUAAAAGCAAAAGGGAGCUUGACUAUACGUUCCACUCGUCAAGCAAGGAUGAAAGUUGAUCUUAGUGAUCCGAUAGUGCUAAGUGGAAGGACCAUCACUCAAC